rnacentral:rRNA from 1 species
AUGGAGGAUCCAGCGCAGCAGCCCGAGGAAGUGCCGCUCCUCCACCCGGCCGUCGGCGGCGGCCACGCAUGGCUGCAGGCCGUGCCGAUCAAGUGGAUCCUGCUGGGUGUUCUGACCGUGGUGGUUUUGUGUGCGAUCGGCUUGUUGAGCGCCGGUUCCCUUGAUUACCAUGUGUGGAUCGAGACGGUCGUUGGUAUGGAUGCCGAGCAGCGGCAAAGCGCUCUCUUCAGCUUGGCAGGAGAUGCCACGACGCUCCUCUUGGUGUACGCGCCAAUGGACAGCUUCAUACAGACAUGGACAGAGGGAACCGUGGGUGAGCGCACACACAUGGCCAACGUCGCAUCAAUUGUGAACAGUUCCAUUUGGGUGUGGUGUGGGCUGGUGCUUCCGACGGUGAACUAUUCGGUGUCCAUCGUCAACCUCAUCGGCGCUCUGUUCCACCUCGGGUAUCUUGCCGUGUUCUUCACUUGCUGUGAGCGGCGCUGCUUUUUCUUCUCCUUUGUGGGAUUGGCCUUGUCUUUGGCAUGGGAAUCGCUGGGGUUGAUGUCUAUCUCAAGUUCGCCGGCUACGAGCUGGCUAGCGUGGUCGGCUGCUCGGGUGCUCUCACCGGAGUUACUAUGUACCUGA